AAUUAAAGCAGUUUUGGUACUACGAAAAGCCCUUUUAAACUUUGCCGCGGCGAGGGAAGGGUUAACGGCGCCCCUCGGCUCCGCCCGCGCCACUCUCAACCAAUCAGCGCUCUGCGCCCCGCCUCCCGCAGCCAAUCGGCGUCCUCUCUUCAAGCCGCGCCCUUUGCCCUAUCGGCUGUGUCAUUGCGGCGGUCCCCACUUCCCCGCCAUCGCCGCCUUAAGAGGAGGCCACGCCCCGCUUCCCCGCCCUCUGAACCAGCAGCCAAUCAGCGCAAAGCGCCCCGCUCCCUCAGCCAAUCGGCGCGCUAGCCCCGCCCACUAGCCGCUCAUCCAAUCAACGUUCAAUCUCUUCAAACGCCAGCAGUUUCUUGUCCGCCAUUCUUGGGUCGUGGCUUAAACCGGAAGCACGCGUGUCCGCCAUCUUGGGGGCGUGGCUUGUCGCGCAGGGGCUGCUGGGAAUCGUAGUCCUUAAAGGGGCCACCGCCAUUUUGGGGGCGUUUUGGGGGCGAAAAACGGAGAAAUGCGGACAAAACGGGGCGGAGUUUUUACAGCGGGGGGGGCGGGGCGGCCAACAGCGCUUCCACGGACCUGAGGGCAAAGGGGGGCAGCGGCACUUAGGGGGCAGCCCCACACUUAGGGGGCGGACCCCCACUUAUGGGGCAGCCCCACACUUAUGGGGCAGACCCCCACUUAUGGGGCAGCCCCACACUUACGGGUUGGACCCACACUUAUGGGGCAGCCCCACACUUAUGGGGCAGCCCCACUUAUAGGCCAUACCCACACUUAU
rnacentral:lncRNA from 1 species